GGAGGUAUAGCUUAGUGGUAGAGUGCAUGCCUAGCAUGCACAAGGUCCUGGGUUCAAUCCCCAGUACCUCCA
rnacentral:tRNA from 1 species